CCCAGACUCCUACGGGAGGCAGCAGUGGGGAAUAUUGGACAAUGGGGGGAACCCUGAUCCAGCGACGCCGCGUGAGUGAAGAAGUAUUUCGGUAUGUAAAGCUCUAUCAGCAGGGAAGAAGAAAUGACGGUACCUGACUAAGAAGCCCCGGCUAACUACGUGCCAGCAGCCGCGGUAAUACGUAGGGGGCAAGCGUUAUCCGGAUUUACUGGGUGUAAAGGGAGCGUAGACGGUGCAGCAAGUCUGGAGUGAAAGGCAGGGGCCCAACCCCUGGACUGCUCUGGAAACUGUGUAACUGGAGUGCAGGAGAGGUAAGUGGAAUUCCUAGUGUAGCGGUGAAAUGCGUAGAUAUUAGGAGGAACACCAGUGGCGAAGGCGGCUUACUGGACUGUAACUGACGUUGAGGCUCGAAAGCGUGGGGAGCAAACAGGAUUAGAUACCCUCGUA
rnacentral:rRNA from 1 species